AGUGAACGCUGGCGGUAGGCCUAACACAUGCAAGUCGAACGGCAGCACAGUAAGAGCUUGCUCUUACGGGUGGCGAGUGGCGGACGGGUGAGGAAUACAUCGGAAUCUACUUUUUCGUGGGGGAUAACGUAGGGAAACUUACGCUAAUACCGCAUACGACCUACGGGUGAAAGCAGGGGAUCUUCGGACCUUGCGCGAUUGAAUGAGCCGAUGUCGGAUUAGCGAGUUGGCGGGGUAAAGGCCCACCAAGGCGACGAUCCGUAGCUGGUCUGAGAGGAUGAUCAGCCACACUGGAACUGAGACACGGUCCAGACUCCUACGGGAGGCAGCAGUGGGGAAUAUUGGACAAUGGGCGCAAGCCUGAUCCAGCCAUACCGCGUGGGUGAAGAAGGCCUUCCGGUUGUAAAGCCCUUUUGUUGGGAAAGAAAAGCAGCAGGUUAAUACCCCGCUGUUCUGACGGUACCCAAAGUAUAAGCACCGGCUAACUUCGUG
rnacentral:rRNA from 1 species